rnacentral:lncRNA from 10 species
CAAAUUUAAAAUUAAUCUUUUAAUUAAUUCAAAGCCCAACUCCAAUGUUGCCUCAUCUGUGAGGUAGCCUUUACUUACUACCAUCGACUUGCUCUUGAAGAUUUUUAUCAUUAUGAGAGAAGCAGUCACUUUCUGUUCUUUUGUUGGGAUUGUUUGCUUCUAUAUCUUUUCCAUUAGGCUGUUAAUUCUUUGAGUAUGUUUCACCUGUUUGCCUCUCUUUUGCAUCCCACCUCCCAGUCUAAAUCUGUGCACCUAACAUUUAAUAGAGGUUCCCGCAGAAAUAAGACACAUUCAGGGAAGCAUUUCCUUCCAAGUGACAGAAUCAAAGAACACUAACUUUAAAAAAAUUAAUUAUGGAUUUUGCUGCUGUUAUAGCAUUUUAUUUCAUGGGCAAGUUACCUAAUUCCCCUUAAUCUCAAUUUCAUUUUCUGAAAACUAGGGAUUGUGAUGGCACUCAAGUCCUAAAAUUAUUGCAAUCAUUAAAUUAACAUAUGCAAAGUGCUUAGAACAGUGCUUGGCACAUGAUGAGUAAUAAGUGUUAGCUAUUGCUUUUAUUAUUAUAAUAAUUAUUUUCAAGGAAAUUAUGGUUGCCUGUGAGGAAGAUGAUGACAAAAAUGAGCCAGAAAAGAGAAGGAAGAAAACCAAAGAGAAAGAAGCAAAAGGGGAGUGCAAAGAUAGAAACAAAAAGAUGUGUCUGGAUUCAGGCUCCUUCAUUUCCCAUGGACAAAUCUAAAUCACAAGGGUGUCUCAAGGAGAUGCUCUGGCCUUCUGAAACUCCUAGGGAAGGGAGAUCCACAUAAAAACUUUGCUGCUUCUGGCUUGUUUCAUUCUUCUCUGCUCUUAAAAAUGGUUGUGGGGAACUAUUAAAUGUCACUCUUAUUUAAACUCCCAUGUGAAUUCUAUUUUUGUGUUUGAAGAACAACACACUGUUUAUACGCCCAACGUGCCUAUGAAAUGAAAACAGAUGGUGCCACCUAAAGAAUUGAAGGCAAAACAUGUAGGAAGUUGAUAUACUUUCAGAACACAGUCACAUAUACUGGAUGAUUAAAAAUUAUUUUAAAAAUGAAGGAAAGUGAGAAGAACCUUGUUAGAAGAGACUGAGUAGCAACUUAACUGUCUUAUAUUUUUUAGAAGCUUGGUACCAAUUAACUUCAUUGCCACUCAAUAAAAAUUAAAGAUAUGAAUGUAAGGAAUUCUUGGGGAACUAUUUAACACAUCAACUGUGAAAGUCAAUAUCCUACAUUAACAUAACAAUGCCAAAUUUCCCUUAUAAAUUGACAAAGAUGCUACUCCUCAAGGUUAAAUGGUUUAAAUUUAUCAAAUCAAACAUGCAAAAAGAGAUGGUGGUUUGUCUUGAUUUGUUUUUAUAGCAACAGGGUCUCUCUCUGUGGCCCAGGCUAGAGAGCAGUGGUACUAUGCUGGGCUCAAGCCAUCGUCCUGCCUCACACCUGGCUAAUUUUCUUUCUUCCUUUUUUCUGUUUUUCAGAGAUGGGGUCUUUUUAUGUUGCCCAGACUGGUCUUGAACUCCUGGCCUCAAGCGAUCCUCCUGCUGCAGCCUUCCAAAGUGCUGGGAUUACAGAUAUGAGCCACCACACUUGGCCCCAGUUGUGAAGUUUUAGAUGUAUAUAUGUCCCAAAUGUAUCUUUCUUCAUUACCUGUUUUGCAUCAGCCACAGCUAAUGUUGGUGCCACAGACCCUCCUUUUCUUGUGAACUGGAUAAUCACAUACCUGCAGCCCCCUUCCCUUAUUGAUAUCACCUUCAAAAAUUGAAGAAAUGUCAACAUUGGGGAAGAAGAACACAGCAGGAUGUGUCAAGUGGAGCUGAUAUUGUCCGGGAAAAAUGGCUGACUGCACACUCUUCGGCUCACCCAGCUCGAACUCUUGCAUUAUGAUGUGAGUUCUUCGUUGCCAAAUCAAAACAGACUGACAAAGCAUUUACUAGAAUAUUAAGGCCAGUUUUUCCUAAACUGGAAUUUCCUUAGCUCUUAAUUUGUUUAUCAACUGUCCAGGCAAUCAAAAAAAAUUCCUGCUUCUAGUUUUUAUACAAUGAUAUUUCGGGGGGGGGGGUGGUUAAUUAUUCAGAUUUGCAGCUUUGGUUGAUAUGACAGCUGCUUGUUCUACUUUUCAUUUUGCUGUCCCAGGCGCAGAAUCAGCCUCACUUUAUUUAUGUAAGGAGUCCAAGACGGCAGUAGGUUUUGGGCUAAAGUAUUGUGAAUAAUCCCUUUACUUCUCUAUUCCUCAUUGCAGAACAUGCAUCGGUUGUGAGUCCUGAUUAUAUGAUUUUUCAUAAACUUUCAUGUGUUCACUCUUUGCAAGUUAAACUUGCCAAAUUGAGGGUAACAAACCUUGUGAAAUAAUCUUGGGUGAUUUCUGUUUUGCUGGCUAGAAAUACAGGCAUCAUAGAUGGAAAACAUACUGAUGCCUCAGAAAUUUAUUUCUAACACGUGAGCUACCCAUCCCUCUUCCCAUUUCCUCUGGCUAGUAUAAAGGAGCACACAAAGAAAAAAAAAUGGCAUGAACGGGGUGAUUAUAAUUAUGUCUCUAUAGCAUUCUUGUUCAUUUUAUUUCUAACCAGAAAAGGACCUAUCUACUAGAGGUCAAUAACUCCUCUUGGCUCUUUUAUAUUACUGCAAGUGGAGAACUGUUUUAUGUACAUAUUAUUUCAUGCCUACAUGUUUAGCACAAGGUCUUACACAUCUUACCUUCUUCACUAUAGUAGGUUCAAUAUUUUGCACACAAUAGACACCCACCAAGUCCCUAUUCAUUGUUGACAGAAGCAGCAGGACAUUAAAUUAUUAGACAAAAGAAAGUAGCUCAGAGCAAGAGGAAGGCUGAUUUACUCACAGGAUCUCCUGAUUUUAUAAAUAUUCUCAUUAAAUGAAAUCACUUUCCUGCCCCACUUUUCCUCUGGUUAGUAUAGAGGAGCAAAGGAAGAAGAAAUGACAUGAGCAGGUAUACCAAACUUAAGCAUGUUAUCCAAUCUGAUUUUUCCCAAAUGGCCUUGUUGGAACCAGGCUAAUGGUCAAUAACAGCAGCACAUCACAGCCAAGAUUAAAUUCCUGAAAAGGAAAUGUGCAGAGCCCGCUUGGGGGUGAAAUUGGUCCAAAUUGAUUUAAGGGCACAGUCAAGUAGGAUACAUCCCCCACAGCAUGAAGCCCAGCAUUUUGAUUACCAGCCUAGGAGUUAACAGAGGUUCAUCCUGUCCUUAUUCUCAGAAUUUGCCAGUCCUCAUUAGGUCUGACUUCAUUGGAAACAAGAUAGAUGCAGAUCUAAAUGACCAAUAAAUGUUCUGGUUUGCAAGGUCAUAGCUGACCACAGAGGAUGGGUAUGGAGUUUCUGUGCGUGGGAGUGUGGGGGAGAGAGAGAAAGCUAUUUCAAAUGAAACUCAAAAUAAACAUUUAUAGAGAUGAUUAACCACAUGUUUUAUAAUGCCUAGUAUAAAUGCCACCUGGCCCAGGAAGUGGCCAUCUCUGCUGGAAGCGCUGUCUCUCUUUUUACUCUACUCUUACCACUUUUACUCACUGAAUCUCUCACAUGACAAUGAGGCACUCACUGCCGAAGGGUAUAGGUUGUCAUGCACAGAGAACUUUUCCCAUUUCACCCUAUCCUGUGGUGUACCCUUACAGCAUCAAUCCACCUUGCAAUAAAUGUGUGUCAGAUUAAUAAGUAAAUGAAUGAUGGUUUUGCCUUGAGUUAGCCUGGCUGAUGAAAGCCACAAAUAACCCCAAACUCAGAUUUUAAUGACCAGUCCCAUGAACCAUUAUUACUGCUAUUGGCAAUGCUGGCACUUACUAGCUAUAACCUCAAGUGCCUGUGGUUGGGUUUUUUGUUUGUUUUUGUUUUUUGUAUUGUUUUGGUUUGAUUUGGUUUUUA